AUUAACUUAGGCGCAAAAUUGUCAUCAAUUUUGUGUUAAAAUAGGAAUCUUUCGAGGUUCAUAACUUUAAAACAAUUUUUUUUUUGAAUGAUU